CCUACGGGUGGCAGCAGUGGGGGAUAUUGGGCAAUGGACGGAACUCUGAACCAGCCAUGCCGCGUGCAGGAAGACGGCUCUAUGAGUUGUAAACUCUUUUUGUACAAGGGUAAACCUGAAUACGUGUGUUCAGCUGCACGUACUAUACGAGUACGGAUCGGCUAACUCCGUGCCAGCAGCCGCGGUAAUACGGAGGAUCCGAGCGUUAUCCGGAUUUAUUGGGUUUAACGGGUGCGUAGGCGGAUUGAGAAGUUAGAGGUGAAAUGUCCGGGCUUAACUCGGGAACUGCCGUUAAUACUGUUGAUCUAGAGAGUAGAUGCGGUAGGCGGAAUGUAUGGUGUAGCGGUGAAAUGCUUAGAGAUCAGACAGAACACCGAUGGCGAAGGCAGCUUACUAAUCUAUAACUGACGUUGAGGCACGAAAGCGUGGGGAGCAAACAGGAUUAGAUACCCGUGUAGUC
rnacentral:rRNA from 1 species